UCAGAGUGAACGCUGGCGGUAGGCCUAACACAUGCAAGUCGAACGGCAGCACAGGAGAGCUUGCUCUCUGGGUGGCGAGUGGCGGACGGGUGAGGAAUACAUCGGAAUCUACCUUUUCGUGGGGGAUAACGUAGGGAAACUUACGCUAAUACCGCAUAAGACCUUCGGGUGAAAGCCGGGGACCUUCGGGCCUGGCGCGGAUAGAUGAGCCGAUGUCGGAUUAGCUUGUUGGCGGGGUAAAAGCCCACCAAGGCGACGAUCCGUAGCUGGUCUGAGAGGAUGAUCAGCCACACUGGAACUGAGACACGGUCCAGACUCCUACGGGAGGCAGCAGUGGGGAAUAUUGGACAAUGGGCGCAAGCCUGAUCCAGCCAUACCGCGUGGGUGAAGAAGGCCUUCGGGUUGUAAAGCCCUUUUGUUGGGAAAGAAAUCCUGCCGGUUAAUAACCAGUAGGGAUGACGGUA
rnacentral:rRNA from 1 species